rnacentral:rRNA from 1 species
UAGGGAAUCUUCCGCAAUGGACGAAAGUCUGACGGAGCAACGCCGCGUGAGUGAAGAAGGAUUUCGGUUCGUAAAACUCUGUUGUUAGGGAAGAAAAAAUGUAUAGUAACUAUAUACAAAAGAGACGGUACCUAACCAGAAAGCCACGGCUAACUACGUGCCAGCAGCCGCGGUAAUACGUAGGUGGCAAGCGUUGUCCGGAAUUAUUGGGCGUAAAGCGCGCGCAGGUGGUUUAGAAAGUCUGAUGUGAAAGCCCACGGCUCAUCCGUGGAGGGUCAUUGGAAACUAAUAAACUUGAGUGCAGGAGAGAAAAGUGGAAUUCCUAGUGUAGCGGUGAAAUGCGUAGAGAUUAGGAGGAACACCGGUGGCGAAAGCGGCUUUUUGGCCUGCAACUGACACUGAGGCGCGAAAGCGUGGGGAGCAAACAGG